ensembl:lncRNA
ACUAUGGUUCUACAUACAGUAUCUGUAUUGAUAGUCCAUACUGGUCUUUACUAUGGUUCUACAUACAGUAUCUGUAUUGAUAGUCCAUACUGGUCUUUACUAUGGUUCUACAUACAGUAUCUGUAUUGAUAGUCCAUACUGGUCUUUACUAUGGUUCUACAUACAGUACCUGUAUUGAUGAGGGCCUCAUCAUCAAGCUGCACAAAGAAAGCCAGAGACUGCAGUGUGCUCCAGUCUCCAGCAGGGGGCAGUAAAACCCUAUGGACCUGAAAGGGACUGCAGUGUGCUCCAGUCUCCACCAGGGGGCAGUAAAACCCUAUGGACCUGAAAGGGACUGCAGUGUGCUCCAGUCUCCAGCAGGGGGCAGUAAAACCCUGUGGACCUGAAAGGGACUGCAGUGUGCUACAGUCUCCACCAGGGGCAGUAAAACCCUAUGGACCUGAAAGGGGAAGUGAGGAGUAAAAAUCAAAGGUAAAGGUGUGUCAAAUGGAAGGGCAAGUCUCACCACUGAGAGGAAAACAUCACUGGUCCACCUCUGCAUCAGGUCAGCUAUGUUGAUCAGUACUGUCCCAGGGAUGCUGGGAGCAGAGAUGAACUCCCCUGACCUGGUACCACCUAUGGAGUUGUCAUUUUAAUAUCAGUUUAACCCCAUUACUGCUAUAACACAUAAACCAUGUUAAUAGAAUGAAAUGGAUCCAGGUUCCAUUUAUUCUACAUUAGAUUUACUGCCUGUGGAACACUUCUCCAAAGUGGUCUGAAAUCAAGAUGACUGCAGGUCUGAAUCCCAAACUAAUGGGGGGAAAUGGAUCCAUCUAAUAAGAUGGUAUUUAGAGGUAUGAACCUUUCUAUUGGGGUGAACCAUCCCCUUAACAUACAGUACCAGUCAAAAGUUAGGACACACCUACUCAUUCAAGGGUUUUUCUUUAUUUUACUAUUUUCCACAUUGUAGAAUAAUAGUGAAGACAUCAAAACUAUGGAAUAACACAUGGAAUCAUGUAGUAACCAACAACGUGUUCAACAAAUCAAGUGGAGGCCAGGUCAUCUGAUGCAGCACUCCAUCACUCUCCUUCUUGGUCAAAUAGCCCUUACACAGCCUGGAGGUUUCCUGCUGAAAAACAAAUGAUAGUCCCACUAAGUACAUACCAGAUGGGAUGUCGUAUCUCUUUAGAUUGCUAUGGCAACCAUGCUGGUUAAGUGUGCCUUGAAUUCUAAAUAAAUUCCUGACAGUGUCUCCAGCAAAGCACCAUCACACCUCCUCCUCCAUGCUUCAUGGUGGAACAUACACAUGCAGAGAUCAUCUGUUCACCUUCUCUGCUUCUCACAAAGACACGGCGGUUGGAACCAGAUAUCUUAAAUCUGGACUCAUCAGACCAAAGGACAGAUUUCCACCGAUCUAAUGUCCAUUGCUCGUGUUUCUUGACCCAAGCAAGUCUCUUCUUAUUAUUGGUGUCCUUUAGCAGUGGUUUCUUUGCAGAAAUUGAUAGUGAGGGUGUUUUCUGUUAACAGAAUGUGUUUCUUGUUAAAAGGCUGAAUAUCACUAAAGGGAAUAAGCAAAGACACUAUGUGUAAUUCUGGGAUUGAGUUUACUUAUUGGUUUUAUUCUAUAAUGAACUAUAGUUAUCUGUAGUUAUUGGUAUAAUUCUAUAAUGAACUAUAGUUAUCUGUACUUAUUGGUAUAAUUCUAUAAUGAACUAUAGUUAUCUGUACUUAUUGGUAUAAUUCUAUAAUGAACUAUAGUUAUCUGUACUUAUUGGUAUAAUUCUAUAAUGAACUAUAGUUAUCUGUACUUAUUGGUAUAAUUCUAUAAUGAACUAUAGUGAUCUGUACUUAAUCCUAUAAUGGCCCGUAGUAAUAUUAUAGUCCGAUAAGGGCAUGUAGCAAUCUUAUAAUUUCCUAUAGUGAUCUGUACUUAAUCCCAUAGUAAUAUUAUAGUCUGAUUAUGGCAGGUAGCAAUCUGAUAAUUUCCUAUAGUAAUCUGUACUUAUUAUUUCCUGGAAAUAAUGUAUAGGUGCGCCACCAAUAUAAUUGAUCCAAGGAACUAGAGGGGAGGGGAACCCCGCCUAGAGGAAAGAACUCAGAUUUGGAAACAAUGGAGGAGUAAAGCCGAGGGGAUCUGGUUAUUAGCAUAAAGUGGAGGGACGAUGACACUUCUAUAAGCAUGAAACUGUAAAAAAGGAGUGGACUGAGACUGAGGGAUUUGAUGUUGAAACCUUUCAGGGAGUUGUCCCCAAACUCUGUCAAACUCAACCCAUUCAUCUUAUAGAAUCAGUCUGAGUGAGGUUUGAAACCUGUGAUCAAAAAGACUGUAACGGCUGUCGUCCUCCUCUCCUGAGGAGUAAUAGGAAGGAUCGGAGGACCAAUGCGCAGCGUGAAAAGGGGGUUUCAUUAUCUCUCGUUGGAAUGUCCCCGGAGACUGUGUUAUCGGGGAGAGCAGGAUAAAAGUAUCUGGAUUAGGCCAUAAACAGACUUCCAGAUAAGUGAGGCCUUGUUCAGGUGUGUUUUUGACCUACGGUUCACCAGCACACACAAUUUACUGGUUACGAAUAUGCAUUAGUGGUGUUGAUACUGUGGGAUUUAUUUUGGAUGGGGUCUUUUCAAUUCAGUUGUAAAUUGGGUUUGCAGAAGGAUGGAAAUGUUAGGAAGGUUUUGAAAUGGUUUGUGAAGGACAGGGAAAGAAAAGGGAGAGGGAAUAUUUAAUGGUGUCAAAUGCCCUGUAUCCUGACUUUCUGGUGAGACCAGAACAAUCUCACUAGAAAUGAUAGAAACAGGUGGGAUUUAAUUAUAAAAUGAAUGAGAAACACCAGUUUCUACUCUAUUUAACCAUUGCUUUAUGAGAGAAGUUGAUUGGUUAUUCAAAUUAGUUUAUUUUUGAUUUAA